rnacentral:rRNA from 1 species
GACGAACGCUGGCGGCGUGCUUAACACAUGCAAGUCGAACGGUGAACGCGGGAGCUUGCUCCCUCCUCAUCAGGCGCAAACGGGUGAAUAACACGUGUGCCAUCUGCCUCGAACUCUGGGAUCAUCGUUGAAAAGGACGUCUAAUCCCGUAUACGACCCGGGUGGAUGUCGUCGCCUCGUGAGAAUCACUGCGGUUGGGGAUGAGCUCGCGGCCUAUCAGCUUGUUGGUGGGGUAACGGCUCACCAAGGCUACGACGGGUAGCCGGCCUGAGAGGGUGACCGGCCACACUGGGACUGAGACACGGCCCAGACUCCUACGGGAGGCAGCAGUGGGGAAUAUUGCACAAUGGGCGGAAGCCUGAUGCAGCAACGCCGCGUGCGGGAUGACGGCCUUCGGGUUGUAAACCUCUUUCAGCAGGGAAGAAGCGAAAGUGACGGUAACUGGAGAAAAAGCACCGGCUAACUACGUG